rnacentral:lncRNA from 1 species
UGACAUCCCUGUCGUUAUCGAUCGAAUACGUCGUGUCUCUGAUUCAUGUAAAUCUUAAAGUUGAGAACUUUAGAUUUCCUGCUAUUAUUAGGGUCUCUUCCAUGCCAUGAAUGUAUAUAGAACUGAUUCUUUUGUAAUGGAAAAUGCUGUUGAUCAUUCUUUCAAUGUAUUAUAGUGAUAAAAAUGAAUUAUUUUAUUGCAGCUCAAAAUAUGAAUACAAAAGAAUGAAGCUUUUUCUUUUAAUCUGCACAAAACUAACCAAUUUUUUG